rnacentral:lncRNA from 1 species
AGAAAAGAUAACAGUGAACCCAGAGAAAAGUUGACAGUGAACUCAGAAGAAAUGACGGUGCACCCAGAGAAAAGAUGACAGGAAACCCAAAGAAAAGAUGAUGGUGUACCCAGAGAAAAGAAGACAAUGAACUCAGAGAAAAGAUGACGAUGAACCCAGAGAAAAGACGAUAGUGUACCCAGAGAAAAGAUGAUGGUGAACCUAGAGAAAAGACGACAGUGAACACAAAGAAAAGACGACAGUGAACGCAGAGAAAAGAUUAGAGUGAACCCAGAGAAAAGACAACAAUGAAAUCACAGAAAAAAAUGGCAGUGCACCCAGAGAAAAGAAGACAGUGAACCCAGAGAAAAGAUGGUGGUGAACACAGAAAAAAGAUGACAGUGAACCCAUAGAAAAGACAACGGUGAACCCAGGAAAAGAUGAUAGUGCAGCCAGACGAUGCACUAUCGUGAGAGAGAAGACGGUGAGGAAGCCAGGGAAAUGACAAAAGUGCAUCUAGAGAAAAGGUGACAGUGAACUCAGAGAACAGACAGUGAACCCAGAGAAAAGACAGCAGUGAACCCAGGGAAUCAACAACGGUGAACCCAGAGAAAAGACGACGGUGCAUCCAGAGAAAAAGGGACCCAGAGAAUCGACAAUGGUGAACCCAGAGAACAUACGACAGUGAACGCAGAGAAAAGACGACGGUGCACCCAGAGCGAUGGUGAACCCAGAGAAAAGGUGACAGCGAAUUCAGAAAUAAGACGACAGUGAACCCACAGAACAGUGAACCCAGAGAAAAGAUCACGGUGAACCCAGAGAAAAUACGACAGUGAACCCAGAGAAAAGAUGACAGUGAGCCCAGAGAAAAGACGACGGUGAACCCAGAGAAAAGAUGACAG